rnacentral:rRNA from 1 species
GAUGAACGCUAGCGGCAGGCUUAACACAUGCAAGUCGAGGGACGGUAGCAAUACUGGACCGGCAAACGGGUGCGGAACACGUACAGAAUCUACCUUUAUCUGGGGCAUAGCCCGGUGAAAACCGGAUUAAUACCCCAUAACAUGUUAGAGUGGCAUCACUCCAACAUUAAAGCUCCGGUGGAUAAAGAUGACUGUGCGUA